UACGUAGGCAGCAAGCGUUGUUCGGAGUUACUGGGCGUAAAGAGUGCGUAGGUGGUGCCCUAAGUCUGUUGUGAAAUCUCCCGGCUUAACUGGGAGGGUGCGGUGGAAACUGGGGUGCUUGAGUGUGGGAGAGGUAAGCGGAAUUCCUGGUGUAGCGGUGAAAUGCGUAGAUAUCAUUUGGAACGCCAAUGGUGAAAACAGCUCGCUGGGGGUUUGCUGGACGCUGAGACGACGAAAGCCAGGGGAGCAAAGCGGGAUUAAG
rnacentral:rRNA from 1 species